CGGAACUCAAGAAGAUGUGUAAUGUGUGUGAUAAUAUCAAAACUUAUCCAGUUGUCCACUUAAAGACUCGCAGUGCAUUGUAAGCUAGUCAUUCCUGGGUAAAGUUACUAUUUUUAUUUUUGAAAUAGGAAACCUCGGCACAUUUUUGGUUACAACUGUGAAACUGUAUGCAUGAUUAUGUGAGGGACUUGGGUAUCCAAAGCAUAGCCAUUGGGGCAUGGUAGUGUCAGUAUAUAAGGAUGAGGUUAUACCAGCUCAGGAUUCAAGGUUAGAGGAGAAGAGACAGUGGGGGUCAGGUGGCAGAACUAACUAACUGUAGCUCUGUUACACUGGCCUUAUUUGAAGAGUGGGAAGGUUUCAUUCUCCUCCCGCAGAGACCCCUGAGCCUCAGUGUUUAUUUAGACAAGGCUUCCAUGGUUUCCAUCUUCUCACAUAGGAUACCGCGCAGAAUGACCGGAGCAGGACAGUUGAAGCAAGUCAAAGGGAACCUUGAGGGUAACUACCAAACAUUCAGCAAACAUUUAGUUGGCACCUAUGAUGUCUACUUUCUCCCUUUUAUGUGUUAUGAAAUACAAAUGGCAGAAACAUAUUAAAGAUAAGUUUCAGUCUCUCAAAUUAGCUCAGAGAUAGAUCCACACGUAUAAAUAGACGCUCAUGCUUGAGAUUCAAGAGCUCUUAGAGCACAUCCUGUUAGAAAUAGAAGUGAGGAGAGGAGUCUACAGCUAACAAACUGCGCCAGGUUAGCACAUUUGGGGACAGACGUAAGUUACUCUAGGAAAUGCCCAGACAGUGGAGUAAGGAUAAUCUCUUCAACAAACAGUACUGGUAAAACUGGACAGAAGGAAAAGGGGGUGAACUGAUCAUUUUCUUUAUGGCAAUGUACAAUCUGAAGCUAAGUAUUAAAGAAUAUGCUCUGUUAACAACCCGUCUGGGAACUGCUGCGGGCACACUUGUUGAGUUGACUGGCGUCACCCUUGUGCAGUUGGCCACUCGGUGCAGCCUUGCUGGUUUGAUAGGUGAUUGGAGCUCAUGGAACAAUGCUUGGAAGUCAGAAAAGCUUCCCUUUUGCUGAGGAGAGAGAUUCUGCAUCCUGCACAGAGGAGUGUGGAUUCAGACUGAUGCUCACUCUUAUGAAGAUAAAGAGGAGGGGAUGAUGGGGCUGUCAGCAUACCAGUGCUCUUCUUCUUCUUCUUUUUUAAAGGUUUAUUUAUUUAUUUGAAAGGAAGAGUUACAGAGAGGCAGAGGCAGAGAGAGGGAGAGAGAGAGAGAGAGAGAGAGAGGUCUUCCAUCCUCUGGUCCACUCCCCAGUUGACCGCAACAGCCAUAGCUGCUCUGAUCCCAAGCCAAGAGCCAGGAAUUUCUUCUGGGUCUCCCACACAGGUGCAGGGGCCGAAGGACUUGGGCCAUCUUCUACUGCUUUCCAGGCCAUAGUAGAGAGCUAGAUGGGAAGUGGAGCAGCCAGGACUUGAACCGGCACCCUUAUGGGAUGUGGGUGCUGCAGGCA
rnacentral:lncRNA from 1 species